rnacentral:rRNA from 1 species
UACGUAGGGUGCGAGCGUUGUCCGGAAUUAUUGGGCGUAAAGGGCUCGUAGGCGGUUUGUCGCGUCGGGAGUGAAAAUCCAGGGCUUAACUCUGGACUGGCUUUCGAUACGGGCAGACUAGAGGUAUGCAGGGGAGAACGGAAUUCCUGGUGUAGCGGUGAAAUGCGCAGAUAUCAGGAGGAACACCGGUGGCGAAGGCGGUUCUCUGGACAUUACCUGACGCUGAGGAGCGAAAGUGUGGGGAGCGAACAGG